UUCGUAGGAUGCAAGCGUUGUCCGGAAUUAUUGGGCGUAAAGAGCGCGCAGGCGGCCUAUCAAGUCAGAUGUGAAAUAACCAGGCUUAACCUGGUGGGGUCAUUUGAAACUGGCAGGCUAGAGUACAGCAGAGGAUAGCGGAAUUCCCGGUGUAGUGGUGAAAUGCGUAGAUAUCGGGAGGAACACCAGUGGCGAAGGCGGCUAUCUGGGCUGCAACUGACGCUGAGGCGCGAAGGCUAGGGGAGCAAACAGG
rnacentral:rRNA from 1 species